UACGAAGGGGGCUAGCGUUGUUCGGAAUUACUGGGCGUAAAGCGCACGUAGGCGGGUCGAUCAGUCAGGGGUGAAAUCCCAGGGCUCAACCCUGGAACUGCCUUUGAUACUGUCGAUCUGGAGUAUGGAAGAGGUGAGUGGAAUUCCGAGUGUAGAGGUGAAAUUCGUAGAUAUUCGCAAGAACACCAGUGGCGAAGGCGGCUCACUGGCCCGAUACUGACGCUGAGGCACGAAAGCGUGGGGAGCAAACAGG
rnacentral:rRNA from 1 species